GUUCAAAUCCGGACAACAUGAUGGCUUUCGAUUUCAAUAAUUUUGUCACUCAGUGUGUCACUUUUGAUACUGCUGUAUCCCGAGGAGGGAUGGGCGCGAACCGCCUCCUCCAGCUACUGGACCAUCACG
rnacentral:misc_RNA from 1 species